rnacentral:rRNA from 1 species
AAGAAAGUAGAUAAGGGCGUGUGGGGAAUGCCUUGGCUCUCAGAGACGAUGAAGGACGUGAUAAGCUGCGAUAAGCUACGGGGAUCAGCACAUAUGAUUUGAUCCGUAGAUUUCCGAAUGGGACAACCCAGCUAGUUGAAGACUAGUUAUCCAGCAAUGGAGGUUAACCCAGGGAACUGAAACAUCUAAGUACCUGGAGGAAGAGAAAACAAUAGUGAUUCCGUAAGUAGUGGCGAGCGAACGCGGAUUAGCCCAAACCAAAACUGUUACGGCAGUUUUGGGGUUGUAGGACUGUUAAGUGCGAUAUAAAACGAACUGGAACUAACUGGGAAGUUAGGCCAAAGAGGGUGAAAGCCCCGUACAGGUAAGGUUUAUAUCCGGGACAGUAUCCUGAGUAGGGCGGAGCAGGUGAAACUCCGUUUGAAUCUGCCGGCACCAUCCGGUAAGGCUAAAUACUCCUGAGAGACCGAUAGUGAACCAGUACCGUGAGGGAAAGGUGAAAAGUACCUUGAAUAAAGGGGUGAAAUAGAACCUGAAACCGCACGCUUACAAGCGGUCGGAGCAACUUAGUGUUGUGACGGCGUGCCUUUUGCAUAAUGAGCCUACGAGUUACUCUUCACUAGCAAGGUUAAGUGAUUAAGUCACGUAGCCGGAGCGAAAGCGAGUCUGAAUAGGGCGCCAUAGUUAGUGGAGGUAGACGCGAAACCCGGUGAUCUACCCAUGACCAGGAUGAAGUUGCGGUAACACGCAAUGGAGGUCCGAACCAGUUGACGUUGAAAAGUCUUUGGAUGAGUUGUGGGUAGGGGUGAAAGGCCAAUCAAACCGGGAAAUAGCUCGUACUCCCCGAAAUGCUUUUAGGAGCAGCGUGGAGGUUAAGUCUAACGGAGGUAGAGCUACCAAUAGGACUAGGGGGAGUCAAAUCCUACCAAAUCCUGAUGAACUCCGAAUGCCGUUAGAUAUACUCUGCAGUGAGGGCAUGGGUGCUAAGGUCCAUGUCCGAGAGGGAAAGAACCCAGAUCUACAGCUAAGGUCCCAAAGUAUAUGUUAAGUUGAACUAAGGCGGUCCAGUUGCCGAGACAGCAAGGAGGUUGGCUUGGAAGCAGCCAUUCCUUUAAAGAGUGCGUAACAGCUCACUUGUCGAGCGACAGGGCAUCGAUAAUAAUCGGGCAUCAAACAUAUCACCGAAGCUUAGAAUUGUAAUUUAUUACACUGGUAGGGGAGCAUUCUAUUCUGCGAUGAAGCUGAGACGUAAGUUUUGGUGGAGCGUAUAGAAAAGCAAAUGUAGGCAUAAGUAACGAUAAUGCGGGUGAGAAACCCGCACACCGAUAGACUAAGGUUUCCACGGCAAUGCUAAUCAGCCGUGGGUUAGUCAGGACCUAAGGCGAACCCGAAAGGGGUAGUCGAUGGACAAUGGGUUAAUAUUCCCAUACUACCAUACUCAGUGAUGGGGUGACGGAGUAGUGAAAGCGCUGCGAACUGACGGAAUAGUUCGUUGAAGAGUGUAGGUAUUGGACCGGUAGGUAAAUCCGCCGGACUAGCUGAACUUGAUAGUACCUUGAUCCUUCGGGAGACGGGAUAAUGCGCCUAAUCAGACUUCCAAGAAAAACCUCUAAACUUAUGAAUAUGGUACCUGUACCGCAAACCGACACAGGUAGUCAAGGAGAGAAUCCUGAGGUGCUCGAGUGAUUCAUGGCUAAGGAACUAGGCAAAAUGGCCCUGUAACUUCGGGAGAAGGGGCGCCAGCUUCGGCUGGCCGCAGUGAAAAGGCCCAGGCGACUGUUUAACAAAAACACAUGGCUUUGCGAAAUCGAAAGAUGAUGUAUAAGGCCUGACACCUGCCCGGUGCCGGAAGGUUAAGGGGGGGCGUUAUUGACUUCGGUUGAGAAGCGCUGAACUGAAGCCCCGGUAAACGGCGGCCGUAACUAUAACGGUCCUAAGGUAGCGAAAUUCCUUGUCGGGUAAGUUCCGACCUGCACGAAUGGUGCAACGAUCUGGGCACUGUCUCAGCCAUGAGCUCGGUGAAAUUGUAGUCGCGGUGAAGAUGCCGCGUACCCGCAACGGGACGGAAAGACCCCAUGAACCUUUACUAUAGCUUCACAUUGGUAUUGGGUAAAUGAUGUGUAGGAUAGCUGGGAGGCUUUGAAGCUGUGUCGCUAGGCAUGGUGGAGCCGUUGGUGAAAUACCAGCCUUUAUUUAUCUGAUGCCUAAUCCGACUAUGUCGGAGACAUUGUGUGGUGGGUAGUUUGACUGGGGUGGUCGCCUCCAAAAGAGUAACGGAGGCUUUCAAAGGUACCCUCAGCACGUUUGGUAACCGUGCGUAGAGCGCAAUAGCAUAAGGGUGCUUGACUGUGAGGCCAACAAGCCGAUCAGGUACGAAAGUAGGAUAUAGUGAUCCGGUAGUUCCGUAUGGAAGGGCUAUCGCUCAAAGGAUAAAAGGUACUCUGGGGAUAACAGGCUGAUCUCCCCCAAGAGCUCAUAUCGACGGGGAGGUUUGGCACCUCGAUGUCGGCUCGUCACAUCCUGGGGCUGGAGAAGGUCCCAAGGGUUGGGCUGUUCGCCCAUUAAAGUGGCACGCGAGCUGGGUUCAGAACGUCGUGAGACAGUUCGGUCCCUAUCUGUUGUGGGCGUAAGAAAUUUGAGAGGCUCUGACUUUAGUACGAGAGGACCGAGUUGGACGAACCUCUGGUCUACCGGUUGUGGUGCCAACUGCACCGCCGGGUAGCUACGUUCGGUGAGGAUAAGCGCUGAAAGCAUCUAAGUGCGAAACCCUCCUCAAGAUGAGAUUUCUUUUAAAGGUCGUUAUAGACGAUGACGUUGAUAGGCUACAGGUGUAAAGGCAGUAAUGUCAAAGCUGAGUAGUACUAAUUACCUGUAAGCUUUCUAUA